rnacentral:rRNA from 1 species
AGGACGAACGCUGGCGGCGUGCUUAACACAUGCAAGUCGAGCGGAAAGGCCCUUCGGGGUACUCGAGCGGCGAACGGGUGAGUAACACGUGAGUAAUCUGCCUUCAGCUCUGGGAUAGCUCCGGGAAACCGGGAUUAAUACCGGAUAUGACCACUUCGGACAUCUGUUGUGGUGGAAAGUUUUUCGGCUGGAGAUGAGCUCGCGGCCUAUCAGCUUGUUGGUGGGGUAACGGCCUACCAAGGCGACGACGGGUAGCCGGCCUGAGAGGGCGACCGGCCACACUGGGACUGAGACACGGCCCAGACUCCUACGGGAGGCAGCAGUGGGGAAUAUUGCGCAAUGGGCGGAAGCCUGACGCAGCGACGCCGCGUGGGGGAUGAAGGCCUUCGGGUUGUAAACCCCUUUCAGCAGGGACGAAGCGCAAGUGACGGUACCUGCAGAAGAAGCGCCGGCUAACUACGUGCCAGCAGCCGC